UACGUAGGGUGCAAGCGUUAUCCGGAAUUAUUGGGCGUAAAGAGCUCGUAGGCGGUUUGUCGCGUCUGCUGUGAAAACCGGAGGCUCAACCUCCGGCCUGCAGUGGGUACGGGCAAACUAGAGUGCGGUAGGGGGGAUUGGAAUUCCUGGUGUAGCAGUGGAAUGCGCAGAUAUCAGGAGGAACACCGAUGGCGAAGGCAGAUCUCUGGGCCGUAACUGACGCUGAGGAGCGAAAGCGUGGGGAGCGAACAGG
rnacentral:rRNA from 1 species